AGCAUAUCAAUAAGCGGAGGAAAAGAAACCAACAGGGAUUGCCCUAGUAACGGCGAGUGAAGCGGCAACAGCUCAAAUUUGAAAUCUGGCGUCUUCGGCGUCCGAGUUGUAAUUUGCAGAGGGCGCUUUGGCAUUGGCAGCGGUCCAAGUUCCUUGGAACAGGACGUCACAGAGGGUGAGAAUCCCGUACGUGGUCGCUAGCCUUUACCGUGUAAAGCCCCUUCGACGAGUCGAGUUGUUUGGGAAUGCAGCUCUAAAUGGGAGGUAAAUUUCUUCUAAAGCUAAAUACUGGCCAGAGACCGAUAGCGCACAAGUAGAGUGAUCGAAAGAUGAAAAGCACUUUGGAAAGAGAGUUAAAAAGCACGUGAAAUUGUUGAAAGGGAAGCGCUUGCAGCCAGACUUGCCUGUAGUUGCUCAUCCGGGUUUCUACCCGGUGCACUCUUCUAUAGGCAGGCCAGCAUCAGUUUGGGCGGUUGGAUAAAGGUCUCUGUCAUGUACCUCUCUUCGGGGAGAACUUAUAGGGGAGACGACAUGCAACCAGCCUGGACUGAGGUCCGCGCAUCUGCUAGGAUGCUGGCGUAAUGGCUGUAAGCGGCCCGUCUUGAAACACGGACCAAGGAGUCUAACAUCUAUGCGAGUGUUUGGGUGUCAAGCCCGAGCGCGUAAUGAAAGUGAACGGAGGUGGGAACCUUUCGGGGUGCACCAUCGACCGAUCCUGAUGUCUUCGGAUGGAUUUGAGUAAGAGCAUAGCUGUUGGGACCCGAAAGAUGGUGAACUAUGCUUGAAUAGGGUGAAGCCAGAGGAAACUCUGGUGGAGGCUCGCAGCGGUUCUGACGUGCAAAUCGAUCGUCAAAUUUGGGCAUAGGGGCGAAAGACUAAUCGAACUAUCUAGUAGCUGG
rnacentral:sRNA from 1 species